rnacentral:lncRNA from 1 species
UUAACAUCAGCCAAGAAUUUGCAAGAUUUGUUGUCUAUAAUUUGUCUUUAUUUCAUUUUCUGAAUUUGAAUUUGCAUAAAAUAAUAUGGUUUUCUUAUUUCAUAACUUCAAAAUAAUAAGAGCCAUCUAUGACAAACCAACAGCCAACAUUAUACUGAAUGGGCAAAAGCUAGAUGAAAAAAAAACAGGAAAUGGAAGGCUUGUUUAGAAUUGAAAGGUGAAUCUCUGCCAAGCUGUUCUAGCAUCUGCCUGCUGCCUGCUCUCUCUUCACCUCCCACUACCGCACCUCUUUAAACUUACAUGCACGUCAGACUAUUAUUCAUUUAAGAAUAAAAAAUUGCAGUAAAAGAAAGUAUGACUUUGUGACUUGGAGACAUAAACAGCAGCCCAAUGUUGAGCACAUAUAAGGAUGCCCACAUACAUGCCUGGUUUUGUCCCUUCCAACUCAGUCCCAAGGCACUGUUUCCUUAUAAAAACUUGUACUCAGAUUAUUAAAAAUGCCAGGCUUGGAAUGAUUCAAACUUUAGCAAGUACUAAAGAUUCUAGAAUGACAAGAAAAUGUCUUGGCAUUAUGAAAUAAUGUUAUGUUUAUGGCAUAAUUUAAUUAUAAGUACUAGUAAACAGAUGAGGUACUAGUAAAUGGAUGAGAAAAGUGUUUGAAGAGGAGGUUUGCCACCGUCACCCAGGCCUUUGACAAUAUGACUUCUAAACUCAUUUUCAAACAAGAGUAAACUUGGAGUGGAUGACCUGAAUUAAGGUCAUGGGGAGCCCAAUCAAGAUAUAGGGUGGUCUAAGAGACAAUAUGGAGUACAAAACCAGAAAUACAGUCUGAGUAUUGUAUUAAUGUGAAGAAGCUAGAUACGGAGACAGAAUCUAGGUAUAAGGAAUGGGACAGAAAUUGGUCAUAGAAGAUUAGUGCAAGAGGGUUCAUGAUGGGAGGGAAGAAGGGGAAUAGGAAAUGUAUCCUGAAGCCCUGCA